UCCAAAUCAUUAUUCCUUUUUCAGAAUGUCACAAGAAUCCAUCCCAAUAAUCGGUCUGCUGUUGGACGAAAUACCCUGCACGCCAAUCAGGCCUGGGUCUCCGAAGUAAUCCCUCACCUUUUCUACCCUCAGUUACCUGGGAUUCUGGACCAUUCCUAAAAUGUCAGCAGAGCUCAGACACAGGGGUAUCCCAUCUCCAGCCACUGCCAGUACUACACAGGCUCACAACGGCUCAGGCCAACAUCCCCAGGCCCGGCAUCAAGUUCACAAGGGCCACCAGCUUACUCCUCAGAUUCCAGUCAGGAGACCCGG